CACCGGGCAGCGACAGCGGGCAGCGACAGCGACACCGGGCAAUGACACCGGGCAGCGACAGCGACACCGGGCAGCGACAGCGACACCGGGCAGCGACAGCGGCACGGCGCAGCUAUCAAAAAUAGCGAAACGAGCCUGGACAGAACUGUAAUGGGCCAAACAAGCGCCUUAAACCUUCAUGCAAAUGAAGGAUCCAAACAGAAACCAAUCCAGAGAGACAAAAAACAGAUAAAAAGGGGUAUCUGACCCAGUGAACCAGCGCCGCUCCACCGGGAACAUCGGGGACAUCGCCGCUCAAGACAGAAGACCCAGUCCCGGCGCUGCAGCAUCCUCGACGGGAACGCUCCUGCUCGAACCGCGGGCCCUCAUGCUUUAGGCCUUUUUAAAAUAAUAAAUGCUGAAAUCAC